GUUGGAGCAAGAAGAUCUCAUGCUGUGACCCUCUAGAGGGAAGCACUUUCUCUUGUCUAAAAGAAAAGAAAGCGCUUCUCUUUAGAGGAUUACUCUUUGAGAAAAGCAACGUUGAAGUU
rnacentral:precursor_RNA from 1 species